CGGGGAGUGGCGCAGUGGUAGCGCACCUGCUUUGGGAGCAGGUGGUCGGGGGUUCGAGUCCCCCCUCCCCGA
rnacentral:tRNA from 1 species